UAAUUGGAAUGCACCACAUUUUCUGUUUUGAAGGGAGGCAGUAAGUCUACGUCAAUGUCAGGGUUCCUAGUGACAAGUCACAGAAACAAGCUCUGGCUAACUUGAGCAGCCAAGGAAUUUAUUGGAAAGAUAUCAGGUAGCUUGAGAAUUGAAGAGAGGGUGGCAAACCAGGCUCAUAGGAUGACCAGAACAAGAGGCCAGGCAGUGGGUAUCACAGCCAAGGUCACCCCUCAGGGUCAGUGUGAUGAAGAUGCUGCCAGGCACAGCUGCCCCUGGCCACUCAAUGCCAAAGUCCCACACUCUGCUGGAUGGUGCUGCUGCUGGACUCUCAUCCUUGGGCUCGGCUGUCGGGGGUGGUCUCUCACCUGCCUCUGUGUCCUUGCAUCACUCUCUGUGACCUGAAGUCUCAGAAGAAGCAUUCCAUGAGCUGAGCUGGGUCAGAUGUCUGAGAUCCAGCGUGGUUGGCAGGCGGGGUGCGGGGCAGAGAGAAAGUCUCUGGUCUUCUCAGACUGCAGAUUGGGAAGAAGAUCCCUACCUAUAAGCAAGAUUUACAAAGGCAAAUUCCCCCAUCCCACCUUUGGAGUCUCCCCAAAUAUGAAGGUGGUAGAAUGCUGAAUAAUUGAAAACAAACCAACAAACGAAAACAACAGAAAAUCUAUGACAUCAGGAAAAUCCAGGAAAAGUGUCCAUCCCAGAUGCCUGCUCUUCUCCUCUUUCUGGAGUCACCAUCCUCUACUUGGUCUGCCUUCUCCUUUGCUCUCCUCCAUCCCCAUCACUUCCCCAUGCUGGAGGGAACAGUGUUUCCAAGAAGGACUACAAGGUCAAAUGAUUCUCUUACAGCUCAGCUUACUUCAGUCACCACCAGAUUCACCCUGCAACCCUUGAGCAUCUGCUCUCUCCAAUUAGAAUAAAAUCCAACUGCUUAUUUUUUUAUUACGAUAAAAUGCACAUAACAUAAAACUGACCAUUUUAGCCAUUUUUAAAAUAUCCAAUUCACAGCCACUCCCCAUCCU
rnacentral:lncRNA from 1 species